rnacentral:rRNA from 1 species
AGAGUUUUAUCCUGGCUCAGGAUGAACGCUAGCGGCAGGCUUAACACAUGCAAGUCGAGGGGCAGCGGGGAGGAAGCUUGCUUUCUCCGCCGGCGACCGGCGCACGGGUGAGUAACACGUAUGCAACCUGCCCCUGUCAGGGGGACAACCCGCCGAAAGGCGGGCUAAACCCGCGUACAUGCCACCGGGGCAUCCCGGAGGCAGGAAAGGCUUCGGCCGGACAGGGAUGGGCAUGCGGCGCAUUAGGCAGUAGGCGGGGUAACGGCCCACCUAACCGACGAUGCGUAGGGGUUCUGAGAGGAAGGUCCCCCACACUGGUACUGAGACACGGACCAGACUCCUACGGGAGGCAGCAGUGAGGAAUAUUGGUCAAUGGUCGGGAGACUGAACCAGCCAAGCCGCGUGAGGGAGGAAGGUACAGAGUAUCGUAAACCUCUUUUGUCAGGGAACAAAGGCGGGGACGUGUCCCCGGAUGAGUGUACCUGAAGAAAAAGCAUCGGCUAACUCCGUGCCAGCAGCCGCGGUAAUACGGAGGAUGCGAGCGUUAUCCGGAUUUAUUGGGUUUAAAGGGUGCGCAGGCGGUCUGUUAAGUCAGCGGUCAAAGCCCGGGGCUCAACCCCGGCCCGCCGUUGAAACUGGCAGUCUCGAGUUGGAGAGAAGUAUGCGGAAUGCGCGGUGUAGCGGUGAAAUGCAUAGAUAUCGCGCAGAACUCCGAUUGCGAAGGCAGCAUGCCGGCUCCACACUGACGCUGAGGCACGAAAGCGUGGGUAUCGAACAGGAUUAGAUACCCUGGUAGUCCACGCAGUAAACGAUGAAUGCUGGCUGUCCGGGGGGAUUGACCCCUGGGUGGCGAAGCGAAAGCGAUAAGCAUUUCACCUGGGGAGUACGCCGGCAACGGUGAAACUCAAAGGAAUUGACGGGGGCCCGCACAAGCGGAGGAACAUGUGGUUUAAUUCGAUGAUACGCGAGGAACCUUACCCGGGCUCAAACGGGGAGUGACUCAGGCAGAGACGCCUGUUUCCCACGGGACACUCCCCGAGGUGCUGCAUGGUUGUCGUCAGCUCGUGCCGUGAGGUGUCGGCUUAAGUGCCAUAACGAGCGCAACCCCCGCGUGCAGUUGCUAACAGAUAACGCUGAGGACUCUGCACGGACUGCCGGCGCAAGCCGCGAGGAAGGCGGGGAUGACGUCAAAUCAGCACGGCCCUUACGUCCGGGGCGACACACGUGUUACAAUGGGUGGUACAGCGGGAAGCCAGGCGGCGACGCCGAGCGGAACCCGAAAUCCACUCUCAGUUCGGAUCGGAGUCUGCAACCCGACUCCGUGAAGCUGGAUUCGCUAGUAAUCGCGCAUCAGCCAUGGCGCGGUGAAUACGUUCCCGGGCCUUGCACACACCGCCCGUCA